rnacentral:lncRNA from 1 species
CCCCCCCAUGUAAGAGAACAUCGGGGACGCCCCACACUUGGGGGUCUGCCCCACACCUGGAGGUCCCACCCCACACUUGUGGGUCUGCCCCAUAGAUCCAGAGCUUGCCCCAUAGCUAUGUACCCACCCCAUAAGCCCAUUAGGACCCCAUGUAACAGCCCAACAGUUACGGGACCCCCACUUGUGGGUCUGCCCCACACUUGGGGGUCCCACCCCACACUUGUGGGUCUGCCCCAUAGACCUGGAGCCCCUUCCCCCCUAAAUUCCUUAGGAACUCAUGUAACAGCCCAGCAGUUAUGGGACCCCCACUUGUGGGUCUGCCCCACACUUGGGGGUCCCACCCCACAUUUGUAGGUCUCGCCCCACACUUGUGGGUCUGCCCCAUAGAUCUGGAGCCCCUCCCCCCUCUAUAAAUCCCUUAGGACCCCAUGGAACAGCCCAACGGUUACAGGACCCCCCAUGUGUGGGUCUGCCCCACACCUGGAGGUCCCACCCCACACUUGUGGGUCUGCCCCAUAGAUCCGGAGCUUGCCCCAUAGCUAUGUACCCGCCCCAUAAGCCCAUUAGGACCCCAUGUAACAGCCCAACAGUUACGGGACCCCCACUUAUAGGUCCUGCCCCACACUUGGGGGUCUGCCCCAUAGACCUGGAACCCCCCUCCUCCCCCCUAAGUUCAUUAGGACCCCCACGUAACAGCCCAGCAGUUACGGGACCCCCACUUAUAGGUCCUGCCCCACACUUGGGGGUCCCGGCCCCACACUUGUGGGUCUGCCCCA